GAUGAACGCUGGCGGCGUGCCUAACACAUGCAAGUCGAACGAAGCUCUUACGACGGAACUCUUCGGAGGGAAGAUGUUUGAGACUUAGUGGCGGACGGGUGAGUAACGCGUGGGUAACCUGCCCUGUACAGGGGGACAACAGUUAGAAAUGACUGCUAAUACCGCAUAAGCCUCCGGGAUCGCAUGAUUCAGAAGGAAAAACUCCGGUGGUACAGGAUGGGCCCGCGUCUGAUUAGCUAGUUGGUGAGGUAACGGCUCACCAAGGCGACGAUCAGUAGCCGGCUUGAGAGAGUGAACGGCCACAUUGGGACUGAGACACGGCCCAAACUCCUACGGGAGGCAGCAGUGGGGAAUAUUGCACAAUGGGGGAAACCCUGAUGCAGCGACGCCGCGUGAGUGAAGAAGUAUUUCGGUAUGUAAAGCUCUAUCAGCAGGGAAGAUAAAUGACGGUACCUGACUAAGAAGCCCCGGCUAAACUACGUG
rnacentral:rRNA from 1 species